rnacentral:rRNA from 1 species
UACGUAGGGUGCGAGCGUUGUCCGGAAUUAUUGGGCGUAAAGGGCUCGUAGGCGGUUUGUCGCGUCGGGAGUGAAAACCUUGGGCUUAACUCAGGGCUUGCUUUCGAUACGGGCAGACUAGAGGUAUGCAGGGGAGAACGGAAUUCCUGGUGUAGCGGUGAAAUGCGCAGAUAUCAGGAGGAACACCGGUGGCGAAGGCGGUUCUCUGGGCAUGAUCUGACGCUGAGGAGCGAAAGUGUGGGGAGCGAAUGGG